UUAUUUUUUUAAUCUCCUUAUGUAAAAUUUAUGUUUAUAUUUUUAUGUACAAAUAUGUUACUGAUUUGAGGAUAUCAAAUUUGACUCGAGGUGCUUAGCAAGAUAGUAUGGUACAGAAUUCUUAGAUAUUUAAAAUGUUAAGAAUUUGCUCAAUCAUAUAAGACAGGAAUUAUUGCAUAGAAAAUUAAUGAAGGGUACUGGAUGAAUCAGAAACUCAACAGCUUUGGGAUGAAAGUUUAAUU